rnacentral:sRNA from 1 species
GCCGGGUGCGGUGGCGCGCGCCUGUAAUCCACGUUACCGGGAGGCUGAGGCUGGAGGAUCGUUUGAGCUCAGGAGCUCUGAGCUGCAGCGGACUAUGUCGAUCGGGUGUCCACACUAAGUUCGGUAUCGAUAUGGUG